UACGGGGGGAGCAAGCGUUGUUCGGAUUUACUGGGCGUAAAGGGCGCGUAGGCGGUCAGCACAAGUCAGUUGUGAAAUCUCCGGGCUUAACUCGGAAAGGUCAACUGAUACUGUGCGACUAGAGUGCAGAAGGGGCAACUGGAAUUCUCGGUGUAGCGGUGAAAUGCGUAGAUAUCGAGAGGAACACCUGCGGCGAAGGCGGGUUGCUGGGCCGACACUGACGCUGAUGCGCGAAAGCCAGGGGAGCGAACGGGG
rnacentral:rRNA from 1 species